GGUGAAAUUGUAAUUCCGGUGAAGAUGCCGGAUACCUGCGACAGGACGGAAAGACCCCAUGGAGCUUUACUGUAGCUUGACAUUGGGUCUUGGUACUACAUGUACAGGAUAGGUGGGAGGCUUUGAACCCAGGACGCCAGUUUUGGCGGAGCCAUCCUUGGGAUACCACCCUUGUAGUACUGGGACUCUAACCAUAGGCCAUGAAUCUGGUCUUGGGACACUGUCAGGUGGGCAGUUUGACUGGGGCGGUCGCCU
rnacentral:rRNA from 1 species